ACAUGCAUACAAGAUAGCGUUAAUGCAUCGGAUCCCAUUCUAACUUCCCAGUUAAACGUGCUAAGGAUAGAGUAGUACUAGGAUGGGUGAUCGCCUGGGAAGUCCUAGUGUUUUACAUGCC
rfam:Picea glauca, whole genome shotgun sequence.